AAAUUAAACAGCCGCAAAUUCGUGCUAAGGUAGCAUAAUCAUUUGUCUUWUARRUGAAGACUAGAACAAAAGAUUUAACAUUUUAAUUAAUUUCUUUAAGAUUAAUCUUAAAAUUUUCCUAAAAGUAAAAAGACUUUUAUUUUUUAAAAAGACGACAAGACCCUAUUGAACUUAACUUUAGUUAAACUGGGGCAGUAAAUUAAGUAUCAUUUUAAUUAAAAUGAAUUUACAAAAAUCCAUAAAAUUGAUAAUUCAGUUACCAUAGGGAUAACAGCGUAAUUACAUUUAAGAGACCUUAUCUAAAAAUUAGAUUGCGACCUCGAUGUUGAAUUAAUAACCUAAUUUAAGCAAGAUUAAAUUAAGGAAGUCUGUUCGACUUUAAAAAAAUCACAUGAUUUGAGUUCAGACCGGCGUAAGCCAGGUCGGUUUCUAUCUUUUAAAAAUUUUUUUGUAGUACGAAAGGACCUAAAAAUCUAAUAUUAUUAUAAUAUUGGCAGAACAAUGCAUUAGAAUUAGAAUCUAAUAAAACUUUAAUCUACUUUAUCAUCUCUUUCAUUCUAAUUGUAAUUAGUAUCUUAGUAAGAGUGGCAUUCUACACCAUUCUCGAACGAAAAGUCUUAGGAUAUAUACAAAUCCGAAAAGGCCCUAAUAAAGUAGGAUUUAUAGGAAUUUUACAACCUUUUAGAGAUGCUUUAAAACUUUUCAAUAAAAGCUUAWUUUCUUCAGAAA
rnacentral:rRNA from 1 species